rnacentral:rRNA from 1 species
AGUGAACGCUGGCGGUAGGCCUAACACAUGCAAGUCGAACGGCAGCACAGUAAGAGCUUGCUCUUACGGGUGGCGAGUGGCGGACGGGUGAGGAAUACAUCGGAAUCUACUUUUUCGUGGGGGAUAACGUAGGGAAACUUACGCUAAUACCGCAUACGACCUACGGGUGAAAGCAGGGGAUCUUCGGACCUUGCGCGAUUGAAUGAGCCGAUGUCGGAUUAGCUAGUUGGCGGGGUAAAGGCCCACCAAGGCGACGAUCCGUAGCUGGUCUGAGAGGAUGAUCAGCCACACGAGAAUUGAGACACGGUCAAGACUCCUACGGGAGGCAGCAGUGGGGAAUAUUGGACAAUGGGCGCAAGCCUGAUCCAGCCAUACCGCGUGGGUGAAGAAGGCCUUCGGGUUGUAAAGCCCUUUUGUUGGGAAAGAAAAGCAGCAGGUUAACACCCCGCUGUUCUGACGGUACCCUAAGAAUAAGCACCGGCUAACUUCGUG